rnacentral:rRNA from 1 species
ACUGACCUACGGGGGGCAGCAGUAGGGAAUCUUCCACAAUGGGCGAAAGCCUGAUGGAGCAACGCCGCGUGGGUGAAGAGGGUGUUCGGAUCGUAAAACCCUGUUGUUAGAGAAGAAAGUGCGUGAGAGUAACUGUUCACGUUUCGACGGUAUCUAACCAGAAAGCCACGGCUAACUACGUGCCAGCAGCCGCGGUAAUACGUAGGUGGCGAGCGUUAUCCGGAUUUAUUGGGCGUAAAGGGAACGCAGGCGGUCUUUUAAGUCUGAUGUGAAAGCCUUCGGCUUAACCGGAGUAGUGCCUUGGG